ACGGAGACGGCGUCCGGCGGCUUCCAGAAUGGCUAGCCGGGCCCCUCCCCCGCCCCGCGCGCCCGGUCAACGUCUGCUGCCGGCGGUGCCUACUAACCUGCUAGUGGGGGAGCCCCGCACCGCCGCGACCAAUCCGCUCCUGCGCUAACCGGACCGGCAGCCAGUGGGCAGGCGGGAAAGCCGGACUAAGCCCCAAGGCAUCCUGGGAGUCGUAGUUUUUCUCCGUGGAAGAGCUCCUGCCGCGUGGGCUCACCCCGCCCAGUUGCCAUUAGUUACCCUGACGCACCUCCCACCCCACAUCCAAGGAAAAUGCUCCCUCAUGUGGUUUCUGGGACACCCAUCACACUCACCCAUUGCCCCUCAGAGCCCGACGGAGUCUCCUAAGAGCUCCACAGAGACUUUUCAGACUGGGGCCCCAGUGCCUCCCUCCCAUCCCCCAGAGCCGAGCUUCAUCUUACUUCUUCCUGCCCUGGGGGGCUGCUGAAAUGGCACAUUCCUCACUCUUGCUCCUGGGCCUGAAGGAGGCGGAUAAAAGGUAAUCAGUCCUACAACCAAGUGGCUUGGACGGGAGCCAGCCACACACACUCUGGAAACUCUCAGCCUGACCGAGAGAGAGAGACGGGGUCCAUCUGGGACUAACGGUGGAAGCACUGCUGUUUCCCGCCUCGAAGGAAGAGGCAGUUCCAGCCUAGCGGAGUGCCAAGUCUGAUGGAGGAGACACCGUCCUCUCUAAGGAAGUUCCCAAGGUGACAAGGGAGGAGGCAUCUUGCCCAACUUCUGAAGGCAGAGACCAGGCCCCACCCAUGAGGCGCCUCAAGUCAGAAAAAGAAGAUACUGUCAUCAUCUACUGAGAAUGGAAACUUGUCACUCACCCAUAGGGAUCCUUAGUUUUGGUUUUUCACUAUUAAUAAAAUGGCUGCUGCAGCAUCAAGCAUCGUAUCUAUGAUAAAGACAAGAAGAAUUGGGAGGUGGAGGAAGCAUCACUAGAUGCCUUUUAUUAAGAAAGCAAAAGCUUUUUUAGGAACCCCCAACGGAGGAGUGUAUCUUACUUGCCAAAACUGUCUUAUAACUACCUGCAAGGUAGGAUUGGGAAAGUCUGGAAGCAAUUAUUUAGCAUUUCCAGCUGCUAUAUUGCAGGAGGAAGCCAAGCAAAAGAGAUUAAUGAAUUAUUAUUGGCAAGCCACACUAGGAAUACCUACUACAGAAUCUUUUAAGAUGAUAGUUUCGCGCAUAACUCAGUCCAGUGGCCACACCCAGUUGUAUAUGGUUAGACUCUCAGCAGUGCCAGGGUUCCUAGUACCAAUCAAAUCAGGGAGACACCUUCCGAUAAUCAAACUCCGAGAAAACAGAUCAAAUAGUAUUCCAGUGUUUUAAUCUACAUGGGGAAUAAUUAACCUUGCAGACAAUAGACCAAGGUUCCUUUCCCAGGGACCAGGUUAGUGCACGAAGGCACUAAAAAGCUGAGACUCUGUUACCUGUUGGAUGAGCAGAUUAUUUAGCCUCUUUAUGCCUCUGUGAAUAGAGUAUACCAUAUGCCACUAUCUACUUGACAGAAGCUAUAAAUAGAAAUUAGCAGUAUGUAUGUAGAACGCAUUGAAAUUGUGACAUUCAAAUUUUAAAAUACUGAUGAAUUGGAGGACUGACACUUCCUAACUUCAAGACAUAUUACAAAGCUGUAAUAAAAAAAAAAAAAAAAGCUGUAAUAAUCAAGACAGUGUGGUAUUGGCAGAAGCAUAGACAAAUAUAUUAAUGGAACAAAAUAGAGAACCCUGACAAAGACUCACACAUAUAUAGUCAACUGAUUGUUGACAAUGAAGCAAAGAUUAUUUAAUAGAGAAAAAGUCUUUUUCUCAAGAAACGAUGCUGGAGUAACUGGACAUCCAUGUACAAAAAAAAAAAAACAAAAACCCAAAAAACUAAAUGUUGCCCUUAUAUCUUUCACAAAAA